UUCGAACCAUGCCUUUGCCAU
ensembl:piRNA 21ur-2076 ncRNA